rnacentral:lncRNA from 1 species
GCAACCCUCUGCCAUCCUCUUCUUCAAUGUGGAAGGAACUGUAACACUCACUGCGAGAGUCUGCGGCUUCAUUCUUUUAGUCAGUGAGACCAAGAACCCACCAAUUCCGGACAGGGCAUCUACCUAGAAGUCAGCAGCUCAGUGGAGUCUUUCCUGGUAACCCGACCUAAAAUCCCCAAACUGCCAAGAAUUGGUGUACAAAUAUCACGGACAGUGGGAAAAACAAUGAAUGCUGCCUGCUUAAGUCACAAGGCUCUUUAUUCUGAUAUCCCACUGCUCAUUCCAAAUCCCAAGAUCCUGAGGAACUGUCAUUGAUCGACUCAGAGAUAAGCUAUCCAACUUUGAUCUAAUUAAGGAUGUUCAGAGUCUAUUUCAUGUUUUGCAUAAUGAUUACCAGGGUCACCAGUGCUGAUAAGGAGGAAUGCAAGUAGACAUUGAGAUGGGCUUAAUGUAGUUUUUCAGAUUUGAACCUUCUAAAAAGAUUAUCUGGAUUAGAAUCUGGGCUCUGCUUUGAAGCUGUAGGAAUUUGGACCAUUUAACUUUUGUAUGCCUUAGUUUCCUAAUUUAUGAAAAAUAAUAAUCAUAGCCCAAACUUUAUGAAAAUAUUGUGGAAAAUUAAGUUAAUCAUGGCAGAAGUUUGUAAAACAUCGGCAUACAGUGGGCACUCUGUAAAUAGUGGCUGAUGUACUAUUAUCAUUAUAGACCAGGACAAGUUAUUUAAAUAUUAACUUCUGUGUUUUUUUUUUUUUUUUACUUUCUGUCUAUAUUUUUUAUUCUGAUUUACUUCCAUAAGCCAAGUAUCUGUAUUCCCUUUGUGUAACAGGCAUAAAUGCAGAAGUUAUUUUCACAAAACUUGCAUUAUUGGCUUGGGCUUGAAGGGAUUAGUAGACAUGAAGAGACAAGUAUGUUCAAAGACAGGAUGGAGACAAAGACUCCCUAAGUUGGAGAAACAUUAAAGAAAGGGAAGAUUCUAUUUCUGCUGCACACAGGCAAGCAUUUCUCUUGGAUAUAUUCCUAAGAAUGGGGCUGUGGGAUGUAGUGGAAAUAUUCAACUUGAAAAGAAAAUCUCAAAUUGUUUUCCAAAUGUCUAUGGAUCGAAACACACACAAGCUGCUUAUAAAAGAUCCGUUGACUUGAAUUCUCUUUAGCAUUUAGUAUUGUCAAAACUCAUAUUUUCCAAUCCAUUGGUUGUGAACGACCUCAUUAAGACCAUGAUUUGUGUUUCCCCCAUUGCUUGUUUUGUCAUAUGUUUAUUGGCCAUGUGUAUUUCCUAUUCCGUGGAAUGCCUGUUGAUAGAGUGAUAUUCUAAACAUUUAGCAACUGGUACAGGAAAGGCAACAAUCAUUGUAAGUAGAUAUUAGCGCAAUCAGAAAAUAAGCUAGAUGUGAAGGACAUUAAGCCUGCCCUGUUCUGUAUGGGCUGAACAUUAGCACAAGCUUUUCACAUCUUUUGUCUAUUUUCGACAGGGUUGUAUACUUUUUCAUUAUGGAUGUAUAGUCUGUAUGCUUUAUAUACCAAUCCUUUAUUAGACAUGCAUAUGACAAGUAUUUUCUCCCAGGUCUAGCUUAUUAUUUUUUCAUGAAAUCCUAAUUUUAGUGUAGUUAAAUUUAACAAUCCUUUAUUAAAACUGAUGGUUUAUGUUGCUGCUGCUGUUUUUAUAUCUCAUUUAAGAAAUCUCAUACCAAAGCCUUUAUUUUCUUCUAAAUAUUUAAAAUAUUUCCAUUAGAUAAUUAAAUGUUCUGGUUUUUAAUUCUACAUAUAAUGUGAGACCGAGAUCUAUUUUCAUUUUUUUACAGAUAACGAGUUUUCCUAUUUGCUUAGUACCUCCUUUCUUCAUAAAUACCCCAUAUCAGUGUUUUAAUAUGUUAAAUUUUCAUAUAUUCAAAAUAUUUUUUAACUUUUCUUUGUUUUAUUAGUCUGUGUGUUUAUUCCUGUGCCAAUAUCAUUGUCAUAAGUACUUUAGUUUUACAUUAAGUGUGCAAGUCCCCCUUCAGAAGGGUUAUGUAUCAUUGAACCUCUGCUUUUUAUUAUUUUUGAUUAUUUUAUUUUAUUUUUUAACUCUUAUUUUAAGUUCAGGGUUACAAGUGCAGGUUCAUUACAUAGGAAAACUUGUGUCAUGAGGGUUUGUUGUACAGAUUAUUUCCUCAUCCAGGUAUUAAGCCUAGUAUCCAUUAGUUAUUUUUCCUGAUCUUCUCCCUCCUCUCACCCUCCAUUCUCUGGAAGGCCCCAGUGUGUGUUGUUCCCCUCUGUGCCUAUGUGAUCACAUCAUUUAGCUCCCACUUAUAAGUGAGAACACAGAAUAUUUGUUUUUCUCUUCCUGUGUUAUUUUGCUAAGGAUAUUGGCCUCCAGCUUCAUCCAUGUCCCUGCAAAGGACAUGAUCUUGUUCUUUAUGACUGCAUAAUAUUCUAUGGCAUAUAGGUACCACAUUUUCUUAGAGCUUCUGCACAGCAAAAGAAGCUACCAACAGACUAAGCAGACAGCCUACAGAAUGGGAGAAAAUUUUUGCAUACUAUGCAUCUGACAAAGGUCUAAUAUCAAGCAUCUAUAAGGAAUUUACACAAAUUAACAAGAAAAAAACAACUCCAUAAAAUAGUGGGCAAAGGACGUAAACAGAUACCUUUCAAAAGAAGGCAUACAUGUGGCCAACUACCAUAUGAAAAAAAGCCCAAAAUCUCUAAUCAUUAGAGAAAUGCAAAUCAAAACCACAGCGACAUAACAUCCCACACCAGUCAGAAUGGCUAAUAGUAAAUGUCAAAAAAUAACAGAUGCUGGUGAGGUUAUGGAGAAAAAAGAAUGCAUACACACUACUUUUUAUUCUUAGUUUUAGAAAGAAACCUCCUGCAAUUCUAUAUAAAAUUCUGUUACCGUUGUGUGUGGAGUUACCUUAUAUCUAUAUAUUAUUUAAGAGAGAAUUAACAUUUUUAUCCAGUCAAGAGUCUCUGUACAUAGUGUGUGUGUCUUUAUUUGCUCAGAUUUUCAUUAAUAUAUUUCAGUAGAAUUUUAUCAUUUUGCAUAUACAGGUAUUACAAAUCUCUGU